rnacentral:rRNA from 1 species
AGGUGGCAAGCGUUGUUCGGAAUUACUGGGCGUAAAGGGCGCGUAGGCGGUCUUGCAAGUCCUGUGUGAAAUCCCUCGGCUCAACUGAGGAACUGCACAGGAAACUGCUUGGCUUGAGUUCGGGAGAGGGAAGCGGAAUUCCGGGUGUAGCGGUGAAAUGCGUAGAUAUCCGGAGGAACACCGGUGGCGAAGGCGGCUUCCUGGACCGACACUGACGCUGAGGCGCGAAAGCUAGGGGAGCAAACGGG